CUGACACAAUCAGAAUAGCCACUAUUUUGGAACACUUUAUCGAAAUUAAAGAUGGCAUCAUGCAAAUUUCAAUUGCACAAAGCAAGAACGGGAAAUGUGUCACCUAUCUGUUUGAGGCAGAGAAGACAACAGUUCCAACAAAAUUCGAGUCACCUGGUCACUGUAAUUCUAAGAACGAGUCGAAUGAGGUAAUACUCCAAGAAAAUUUUAUUUCAUUGCUAUGAGAGGAACAAUGAUCUCAGAAGUGCCAGUCUCAGCUUUUCUCUGCAGAUUCCUCCUCUCCUGAUUCUCCUUUUGCUUCUCACUCUCCAGUUAAUGGCCCUGUUGUCUUGUUCCCUGCUU